AUACGGAGGGUGCAAGCGUUAAUCGGAAUUACUGGGCGUAAAGAGUACGUAGGGGGUUUAUUAAGUCAGAUGUGAAAGCCCCGGGCUUAACCUGGGAACUGCAUUUGAUACUGGCAAACUAGAGUAUGGUAGAGGCGGGUAGAAUUCCUAGUGUAGCGGUGAAAUGCGUAGAUAUUAGGAGGAAUACCAGUGGCGAAGGCGGCCCGCUGGACCAAUACUGACACUGAGGUACGAAAGCGUGGGUAGCGAACAGGAUUAGAAACCCCAGUAGUCC
rnacentral:rRNA from 1 species